GGAUUAGAUACCCUGGUAGUCCACGCCGUAAACAAUGUCUACUUGGAGGUUGUGCCCUUGAGGCGUGGCUUCCGGAGCUAACGCGUUAAGUAGACCGCCUGGGGAGUACGGCCGCAAGGUUAAAACUCAAAUGAAUUGACGGGGGCCCGCACAAGCGGUGGAGCAUGUGGUUUAAUUCGAUGCAACGCGAAGAACCUUACCUGGUCUUGACAUCCACAGAAGAAUCCAGAGAUGGAUUUGUGCCUUCGGGAACUGUGAGACAGGUGCUGCAUGGCUGUCGUCAGCUCGUGUUGUGAAAUGUUGGGUUAAGUCCCGCAACGAGCGCAACCCUUAUCCUUUGUUGCCAGCGGUUAGGCCGGGAACUCAAAGGAGACUGCCAGUGAUAAACUGGAGGAAGGUGGGGAUGACGUCAAGUCAUCAUGGCCCUUACGACCAGGGCUACACACGUGCUACAAUGGCGCAUACAAAGAGAAGCGACCUCGCGAGAGCAAGCGGACCUCAUAAAGUGCGUCGUAGUCCGGAUUGGAGUCUGCAACUCGACUCCAUGAAGUCGGAAUCGCUAGUAAUCGUGGAUCAGAAUGCCACGGUGAAUACGUUCCCGGGCCUUGUACACACCGCCCGUCACACCAUGGGAGUGGGUUGCAAAAGAAGUAGGUAGCUUAACCUUCGGGAGGGCGCUUACCACUUUGUGAUUCAUGACUGGGGUGAAGUCGUAACAAGGUAACCGUAGGGGAACCUGCGGUUG
rnacentral:rRNA from 1 species